CCGCGACUCCUCCUGUUCCCUCACGCUGCCGCCGCCGGUGGAGUUCGGGAGGGCCCCGCCCCUGGACGUCACGCCACCAGGGACUGGCCGAUGUCGUCUCCUCGGCGCAAGGAGGGUUCGCCGGCGGGUCGUCGCAUGUGGCUAUUGAGCCGCAUCUAAGGACGGUGCCGAUCCGGACGCGUCAGCCCGAGCACACAAGGGUCACUUGAGAUGAAGGGGAGGGAGAGGCAGUGCCUACGCCGUGGAGAUCCCUGUGGUGCUUCUGCAAGCAACGGCCGCAUCUUCUAUGUUCUUGAUUUCCUUCUCUUCUUGAUUUGAUACGGUUCGUAUCUAUCAGGCAUAUGCACAAAAUCAAAGAUGAUUACAUAAUCAAUCAAUUUAAUUAGGAAGGUACUCAAAUAUGGAGUAGAUUAGAUGAAUCUGUUUUUGCAUGAACGAGAUUGAUUUUGCUUUCCACGCGCAGGGUGGUUUUGGUUCUCUGUUUUUGUUUACAUUGACUAGCUACAACAAAUUGCUUAACUAAGGGACAAGAUUCGGAGACAGAGAGGAUAAAGCACAUGCAUCAAUCAACGGGUUAACUAAGCAAUUUCUGCUAGACAUGCAGCGCCGUCGGUGAUAGUAUGCCUCCAGCCUUCAGAUCCGGGCAUGCCCAGUUGUCCACGGUUGCA
rnacentral:lncRNA from 1 species